ACUGCCUGUGGCUACAACCGAUUUGAUGGUUCAGUGAGGUUGUUGGAUCGAUCUUAUUGUUGUGGCUUCGCCGUUUGACUGAUGCUGAAAAGAUGACCUAAUUUGAUUAUUUGGAGGAAGUAAACGCCGCAACAAGGUUUCCGUAGGUGGGCCUGCGGAAA
rfam:Schistosoma mansoni, Puerto Rico, WGS project CABG01000000 data, contig: 0177